rnacentral:rRNA from 1 species
UUCCGGUUGAUCCUGCCGGACCCUACUGCUAUCGGGGUGGGACUAAGACAUGCGAGUCGAGCGCGCUAGACGCGGCAUACGGCUCAGUAACGCGUGGCUAACCUACCCUCAGGACGGAGACAACCCCGGGAAACUGGGACUAAUAUCCGAUAGGCGAGGAGGCCUGGAAUGGUUUCUCACCUAAAGCUUUCUGCCUGAGGAUGGGGCCGCGCCCGAUCAGGUUGUUGGUGAGGUAAUGGCUCACCAAGCCUAUAACCGGUACGGGCCGUGAGAGCGGUAGCCCGGAGAUGGGUACUGAGACAAGGACCCAGGCCCUACGGGGCGCAGCAGUCGCGAAAACUCCGCAAUGCACGAAAGUGUGACGGGGCUACCCCGAGUGCUCUCCGCUGAGGAAAGCUUUUCCCUGGUAUAACUAGCCAGGGGAAUAAGGAGAGGGCAAGACUGGUGUCGGCCGCCGCGGUAAUACCAGCUCUCCGAGUGGUAGGGAUGAUUAUUGGGCCUGAAGCGUCCGUAGCCGGCCUUUCAAGUCUCUUGUUAAAUCCACCGAUUCAAUCGUUGGUGUGCGGGGGAUACUGUUCGGCUAGGGGACGGGAGAGGCCGACGGUAUUUUCGGGGUAGGGGUGAAAUCCUAUAAUCCCGGGAAGACCACCAGUGGCGAAGGCUGUCGGCUAGAACGCGCCCAACGGUGAGGGAUGAAAGCUGGGGGAGCGAACCGGAUUAGAUACCCGGGUAGUCCCAGCUGUAAACGAUGCAGGCUAGGUGUUUGGGCGGCCACGUGCCGCUCUAGUGCCGCAAGGAAGCUGUUAAGCCUGCCGCCUGGGGAGUACGGCCGCAAGGCUGAAACUUAAAGGAAUUGGCGGGGGAGCACCACAAGGGGUGAAGCUUGCGGUUUAAUUGGAUUCAACGCCGGA